GGAGUCGGCCGAGCAGUCGCUAUCGCGUUUACUCGAAUUAUCCAUUAGUGGACAUUCGGGGGCGCGGUGGAGGAAAGUCCGGGCUCCACAGGGCAGAGUGCCAGGUAACGCCUGGGAGGCGCGAGCCUACGGAAAGUGCCGCAGAAAAUAUACCGCCUAAGCAGUUCGCUGCCGGUAAGGGUGAAAUGGUGCGGUAAGAGCGCACCGCGCGGCUGGCAACAGGCGUGGCAGGGUAAACCCCACUCGGAGCAAGACCAAAUAGGAACCUAUUGGCGCGGCCCGCGUUGGGUUCGGGUAGGUCGCUCGAGGUGCAUGGCGACAUGUAUCCCAGAUGAAUGACUGUUCUCGACAGAACCCGGCUUACAGGCCGGCUCCUUUU
rnacentral:RNase_P_RNA from 1 species